CUAAGACAGAGAGAGAAGAAGGAAAGAGUGAGGGAGAGAGAGCAUGGAAGAAAAUGAAGGAAAGAGGAGGGUGUGUGAACCAAAAAAGAGUCGAUCUUUCCCUUCAAACUCGAUCUGAGUAUAAAAAGGAGGUCAAAUCUAGCGAUGCAAAACAUAGACUGGCACAAGGACCAGAUGGCACAUUUACUGUGUCCGGGGAUCAAGGUGAGAAGAAAAAGAUCAUUCGUAUCAAUGAAUCCACUAAAGUCCUAUAAUUAUGGAAGCUUGUCCUGCUAUGCAAAAUGGAGGAAAGGAGAGUGAAGCCAAGGAGGACGAUGAGAAAACAAAGAUAUGAGAAGACCGAUAUUAGGUGUAUUGUCAUGCUAUGUGUGAGGAAUCGAGAUGAAAUUUUCAACCAAGAAGAGGGCGAGGUGUAAUGGCCCCCCUGGCCGGUCAGGAGGGAGGGCAUGCUCGUAAACCUAAUGUGAAGGAGAAGGGUAUACUUAGUUGGCCAAAGAAAUUUAUGAGGCAGGGGAAUUGACGAGCGUCUUGUAUAGUUAUGGGUCUCUUACAUAUUAGUAAUUUGAUAUCUUUCUAGUUGGAUAUGU